UACGUAGGCAGCGAGCGUUGUUCGGAGUUACUGGGCGUAAAGGGUGUGUAGGCGGUUGUUUAAGUUUGGUGUGAAAUCUCCCGGCUCAACUGGGAGGGUGCGCCGAAUACUGAAUGACUUCGAGUGCGGGAGAGGAGAGUGGAAUUCCUGGUGUAGCGGUGAAAUGCGUAGAUAUCAGGAGGAACACCGGUGGUGUAGACGGCUCUCUGGGC
rnacentral:rRNA from 1 species